GGAGAGAGAGAGUCAGAGAUAGAGCGCUCAUUGCGAUUGCUAAUUGAUUUUUCUCUGUGUAACACAACGGUGGGGGUCUCUAAGAUGCUUCCAUUCUGCCGCCGCCCCUCACCGCACGACGCCGGCCGAGAUGGUGACAGGAAGUUGAUGUGGAGUGACAGCAGAACACCCCACUACAAAACCCAGCCUGCGUUGUUCGUGAAGCCGUUUACGGCAUGCUGUUGCGGUCCGUCUGAAAAAAGCCGUUGGUGAAGGGAUUGAACGGCAUCGGAAUCGACCAAUCACGUCUGUGGCGCCGCCACAGCCGAGCCCUGAUCCGAGCCCUGAUCCGAUCUCUGAUCCGGUCUCGACAGGUUCCAGUCCUCUAGAUCCACCACCCUCUGUCCAC
ensembl:lncRNA